rnacentral:lncRNA from 1 species
ACUUGCUAUUCAUUUCCCAAACAAAAGGCCAUUCAAGAAUUGGAAGCACUUCAAGGGAAAGUUUCUGAAUGACCUCAUUUUAUACGAGGCCUUCCGAGGCAAUGGGGUGCCCUGAGCUGCUUUAGCACCCCUGCCCUCCUCCCGUCUCCUCGCAAACGGAGUUUCCGCCAGUGGUCACUGCCGGAGCACUGAAUUAUCCCUGGCAGUUUUAAAAAAAGCAAAACAAAACAGAACAAACCUCUCGAGAGAAGCAGAGCGCUCAGAAAUGCACUGAUACAGGGAGUGCACACACUGCUCCAACGGGAGAAAUCCUAUUCCCAUCUCCCUUCUCAUCAGUGAACCAGCACACAGGACCCUGACUGCAGAUCUUUCAACAUUUUUGCACAAGUUUAGACCAGAACUUAGAGACAGGGGCCUGCUCUGUUCCGGCAGAUGUUUAUAUGCAAACAGUUCGUCUUCUUCUCCUGCAGACAACUCUGUGUGUUUGAGGACACAUUUCCAUUUUCUAAAUCAUUCCUAGGCAUCAUGUCACGGGGCACAAUCUCUAGAAGCAGCAGGCUGUGGGCCAGGCGACUACAGGUGUGCCAGGGACACUUCCACCCUCCACGGCCACCUUCACAAAAGCGCUUUUCCCCCCAUCUCUCCCCAUCACAUUUUCAAAUUCAAAUUUUAUCAAUAUAGCUGUCACGGUGAAAACAAAACAAAACAAAAACAAUGCGCGGAGAGCCAUGUGGAGCAAGACAGGCCCUGGAGGGGAGUUUCGCAUCACUUCCAGCCAAUAAAUUUGAAAUCCACGGGAACUGAAAUCCACAUGAAUUUUAAGUACCUGGGUGAGCAUCUGACUUUGUGGCCAUGUGUUUGUUCUUGGCUUACCCCAGUUUCAUUAGCAACUUGCAAAAAUAAACAACAGUGCCUUUUUCUGUGCUUAAAAAAAAAAAAACAAACCCUUAAGUGAUACAUGAUAAAGAUACAUUUUCUCAUCUCUGCAAAGAGAUCCCUGAGAAAAUGCUUCCAUCACCAAUCCUAAAUUUAAAAUGACUGUAUUCUGCUCCCCGUCCUCCCACUUUUUGGAAAGCUUCUGGAAUGGUGACGUCAUCACAUUCCUAAAGCGACUUGAGUAAAAUCACACGCCCAUCAAAAUGAAAUCGCCAUUAUUAAACUCCUAUUUCCCAUUUUUACAGGCAUUUUCAGCCAUCGCUCUCUCCACCCCAACCCCAGAACAGCUGCUAACUGGCUUUUUUUUUUUUUUCAAUCUUGGGUUUUUCUGAAUUUAUUUUCAAUAGCGCAAAAAGGCAAAGAUGGUGAAUUUCUCUUCCUUCUGAAGAGACCCUCUAAGGGAAGAUGGGUUCUUUGCAUACAUACCUUCGAGCUCGGAAAGGAGGCGCCCCUCUAGAGUUUCCAGAAGCUUCCAUCCCAAGGGGAUGAAAUGUUAAAAGUGUGGGCCUGUCGGACCCAGAGCCCAACCAGCUCAUGGCUUCCCUCUCGGACUUGGCUUUGCCUUUGCUUCCUUUCUCCAUGACACCGCUGCCUCCUUCCUGACUGUCCCUCACUCGGCCUUCUCUCUCUCGCUCCCUCUUUCUCUCUCAAACGGAAGCCAGACAAUGCCAGAAGCUUUCCUCCACAGCUGCGUGUCUGCGGAGGCAGGUGCCCACAUGAGUGGAGAGGUAGCUGGUGGCUCAUCUGUCAGGGAACUCAAGUUUGCCUUGACCAAGGGCUGAAAAAAAACAAACCAAAAAACACCUCUCAGGGAAGGUCCCCGUGGCCCCUUGAAGAUGCCGAGAUUUGUCCAGCUGUAUCAGGUCCCCUCGUCUGGUGCCAGCCUGGCGGCGGGAACAAAAUGCAUACCUAUCCGAAUGGGGUUUUCAGUUCCCUGGGAAUGUGCCAUAAGACACCCCCACCCCCCAUCCUGUUGUCCCCAACUGGCCAGAGGGUCUCAUCUUACUGCCGCGUGCUGUAAAUUUGAAAAGGAGAAACUACUGCCUGACAAACCCCAACAGCUGAGUGGUAACAGCUGGGUGGCCACAGCCGUUGGCAUAACAUUAGGUCCAGACAGAAAGCAGCAACAGGUGGGGGUGGAAGAGAAAGGGAGUUUUAAGCCUUGCGGGGGGAGGUGGUGCCUGAGACCCCUCUUGGUGAGAAUCAAAAUCUGGACUUGAGAACCCCACUGGCUUGAAUGUUCCUCCUUUUUCUGAACAAAUACAUCUUGUAGAAGAGGAAACCUUAAUGAGACCAAACGCUCGGAUGCCUGUAGAACAAAACACGUGAAUCUGCUUUACCCACAAUGAUCUCAGGACACCCCCCCCCCCAACAAAGAGCUCUCCCUUCCAAGGAUCAGAAGUCAUCUGAUAAUGGUACCUGCAGAUGAUCAGACUCUUUAAGGCAAAUGCUGCUUUUGCCAGAGGAGUGAAAAGGAUGAUGAAGAUUUAAGAACCAGACGUGCUGGAUUCUGCCUGUGAUUCCAUCAGAACAGCCUGACACUGGGACCAUGUCAUUUAAUUUUCGGAUUCGUCAGCUAGACCUUUGUCAUGUGCCAGGCCAUCAUUUCCUGGUAGAUGGCUACAAAAUCAAAAUCUACCGUGAUCCCACAGAUAAGAGGUGCCCUGUGUUAGUUAACCUAAUUAUUACUACAGCAAUUACAUAACCAAGCUAUUAAGUGACACGUAGGUUGAAAAUACAUUAAGGUUUUGAGCACAGGAAAUUUUUUUUCCCCUAUAAUAUGGUUCAAAUCUCUUAACUAUUUUUAGCCCAUGAUAGAGGUUUUUGAAAAUCCCAGCUGAUUUUUCUUUAACUUGGCUUUUGAUGCUAAUUCCCAUGAAAUCCCUUAGGGGGGAAAAAAAUUCUUCAUGAACACUGGUGUAGCUAUCUACACAAGCUAAGUGGAAAUGCAUUAUCUUGUCUCAUCUCUGCAGCUGAGGGUAAACCUUUGUUACCAAUCGCUUAGCCUCUCAAUACUCUCUGGUACAGGCUACUGGCUACACUUGCACUCGUUCACAGGAAUACCGCCAAGUGAGGGAGAAGCAGCGAUGUGAGCGACCUGAUGGUCCGAGGAAGAAAGGGAACCACUUAAGGAUGUUGUGCAAAUUUGCUUUAAUAGCAAAGACAAAACCAGGCUGUUCUAACGACCACGUUCCUCUCCCGCUCCCUCACCCAUCCUUCAAGCCCCGCCCCUGUAUUAUACACCACUUGAUACUGUCUUAGCCAUUCUGUUCCCUCUCUGUUUCAUGCAGCUUCUUAACAACUGAGACUAUGUCCUGUAUAGUGUAUGUGUUGCUUGGUUGGUUCUGAUUACAGUAUGACAAACCUUGACCCCUUAUGCAGAUAAAAACUCACAUUUCGGUUUCAUCAUGCUUCAAAUUUGUCUAUUCUCCCUUCCAAAUCUGUUCCCAUUAUACAGAUAGAAGCUGAGAAAAGUGAAGCACAGGUGCUUUGAUUCAAAGACCUCAUGGACUAUAAAGGAAACCAAGAUGGAUCCAAGUGGGAGUUGUUAGAAGCAAAAAGAAGUGUGGUUUUUCCCCUUUUUCACUGCACCACCUACUCAGUACAAAACCAGACGACACAUACAAAUCAAAGUGCACCGCGGAAAUUCAGCACCGGGGGAAAUACAACGCGUUCAAGCAUCAAAUCUCCAAUAUUUAUCCUUUCACGGUGGCCAAGGAAGGAGCUUGCUUGAGUCCUGACUAAGGAUCUCAUCUACCCUGAGCUGUGGGUCUGGGGGCCCAUUAUUUUCCCUCUGUCAGACUCAGUUUUUUCAUCUUUGAAAUGGGAAUAAUAUAACUGCCACGAACUCUUGGAUAUCUGUGAGGAUUCAGUUCCAUAAAAGAGAUCACCGAGUGUAGUGCCAGGUACAGAGCUGAUUAUCAGUAAACCUUUGAUUUAUUCCUUGCUGCCAAUCAUGACACUUGCACCCCAUGAUCUCUGUUUAAAUCUGGGACGGGCAUAUGGGAAGGAAAAGAGAAAGCCGGUCCUGAUCCUAUUGUUCACGCAGCAGUAAAGUUUUCACUGAUAUUUCUAAGUCCAGCAGCUCAGCCCAGAGGGGGGACGAAGGGUAGGAGGGCAGGCACCAAGCAUCCCAGGGCUGGGGAUGCGGGCUCCGCCCCUUUUUCAUCAAGUCAGUUUCUGAAGAGAAAGUCAAAAUGCAUCCUAACUGCCGCCACCGGGAAUUCGUGCCACCCAUCACCAACUCAGUGCGUUUUCACUUACAGAGAUGCUUUCUAAAUCAUCUCUGAACAAAGGGGGAAGCUAUCUCACAGAACCCGAAAGAGAACUGGGGUCCCAGAUCAAGAUGGUCAAAAAGAAAGGCAUGACAACGACCACAGUGUGGCAGGGGCCCCUGCAGCCCUGGAUCACUGAGAUGGGCAGCUUUUCAGGAGGGCGGCACCAGGUUCUCGGCACCCCUGCAAGUCACUUCACACACAAGCCGGAAGCUGGCAAUGCCGCCCACAAGUUUCCACCCAGCUUUUUUUUUACCAAUCGCAGCUGCAACCUUUCUCCAGAUGGGGAUUCAAAAAGCCACUGAUACUAGAGGUGGAUCAGCCUUAUAACUUCCAACCUGACGCUCUUCUUGUCCAUGACAAAGUUGGCUGAACCAAAUGGUCAUGCAGGAAAAUUCUGGUUUUUGUUUUUCUCCAAGGGCAUGCUGGCAAGCCCUGCUUCAUAAACGGCAGUGACGUAUCUCCACCGCAGGCAGCCAAUCACAGGAGGGUCGGCACGGAUGGGGAGGAGGUGGCAGCUGAGCUGCCCUGGUAAGACAUGGCACUCUGGGCUGCUGUCACCCUCUCCCCACAGAUGCCAUUCCCUGCGAGCCAUGUGGUCUUGACAUACAAGAAAAUGCCCUGGGAUCUGUCCUCAGCAGAAGAAAGCUGGGAAUCAGAUCAACAUAUCUGCACAUAACAAUCCCUAAUGACAUCGCAUGACGCAGAAGGCUGCAUGUGGGAACAAAGGGUGCCUCAUCCCAAAUCAGGGUGAACCAGCACAUCUCUGAGUUGAGUAGAGGUUCAAACACACACACACACACACACACACGCUCUGCUGUCCCAGCCUGACCUCUGUAGAUGGGUACCAUGUGAUCAAAAAGGUGUUUCGGCUCUAGGACACUUCGUUUUCGGGGCUUAAUGGGCAACAACAUUAAAACCUCACAUAUGCGUUCCUUCCUCCGACACUCUCUUCCCCAUGUCAGUUCAGGGAAAUGCCACAGAUUUUAAUCCUCUCCCCAAACCACUGCCUCAUCUUCCCUACAGAAUAAAAGUCACUGCGAAGUUAGAAAAAUUCCCAAAGCCAGUAAUCACCAAGAGAGAAGCAAUCAAUAGUUUGAUGAAAGGAGAACUUCCCUGCCCCCACAAAUCCCCCAGGAAUUACCAAAAGGUAGAAAGAAAUGCAAUGAAGGCUCGUCCAGAUGAUCUAAGAUGUCAUCGCAACUGAGUGGAAUACACGUGUUUCUGUCUGAAAACGUGCAGAUAAAGGCCGUGGAGAUGCUCCUAACGAACUGCAUUCUGCUGAUGACUUUUCCAGAAAGCUCUACGCCAGCGACAAAGUUGCUUGUUUCUUAGUUUCCUCGCAACCACAAUUACAGCAAAUCAAGGUACGUCUUUCAUCGACAGGCUCUGACCCCGUAAAACGGAGCCGUCAUUCCCCUGUGACACUCUUCCUUUUGUAUUUUACCUUCUUUUCAUCACCCUAGGUGUUUCUAGGACUGCGAGCAAGGAACUAUCCAUCAGCUACAUUUUCACCUAAUUAACCGCCCUGAUUACAAUAAUUAGUAUUGAUUCCCCCUUUGAAUGACUUCCUAGGUAUUCCAGCACAGUCUGCUCUUGCACUCAAGUUCUAGAUAUGAAUAUUAAUCAAAUGCCUUUCUUUGUUUUUUUUUU